CACCAUACAUGAUCUUCCACCAAGUAGAAAUUUUUGUGUGUGCAACUAAGAUUGAUUUCCAGGUCAAUUUGUGAAGGUGCGGCCCCAUUCCCCCACCCCUGUCUGGGUUUGCUAGGAGCGCGCCCACUGCCCACACCCGACCUCGCCACCGGGCCGCAUCUUGGCGGAGCUAACACCGUAGGCCUCCAUCUCCUCUACCGAAGAAGGGUUAUUAUCACAUCCAUCCCCACCCAAGAGCGCUCUAAUCCUCUCGACAACAAUGCUCACCACAGUUGCAGUUGCGGGCGCGGAAGCCGCUGUCCCAUACCGAGGACGUGCAGACUGCAAAAGAUUCAUGUGGGCAUUCAUGUUAUUGAAGAAUUUUUCGAAAUGGAAAGCUGAAGGCUGAAUGUUUUUCCAUUAACAUUGUACAUGUGCUGCUAUAGACUGGUCAAUGAAGGCCUCAACCAUUGGAGGCACAAAAUUGUGAAGCUUAAGAUUCCCCACCCUUGUUUCAAUCUUCGAGGAUUUCUCAAUGGAGGGUUUGUUUAACACGGAUAAGCCUUUUUACCUUAUUCUUGUUCUACACACUACAUAUCAGUUAAAUGAAUUUCUGAUAUGAUUGCUUCAAUGAUAAUUUUUGCAGAAGCACAUGCUGAUGGUGCACUUGCCUUUGGAAUAAUUACUUUGCUCUACAACAGUAUGAAGGGCAGAUACAGAGAAGGGGAUUAGUGGAGUGGAUUUUCAUUUUCAGUACUGGGUUUUACCAUGACCCUGUCGUUGCCUCGUACUACAGCAACAUAUAUGGUCAUUACUACAUCUAUGAGAAUGGAUAUUACGUGUUAUGGACUUCAGAUGCGAGCUGCUGAGAGAAGGGUAGACAUAUCUACAAAGUUACGUAUUUCCUACAGUUAUUUCUCUUUUGUGUGCUAAAAUACGUUUUCUGAACCAAGGGUGAUGAGCAAUUAUUAAAAAUUACGUACUCCCUCCGGUCAAUUGACGCUGCUUUAGUACAAAGUUAGUGCAACUUUGUACUAAACCACCGUCAAUUAAUACGGAUCGGAGGGAAUAUAAUAUUUGGUGACGCAUGUUUUUCAUUGAUAAUCUAUUUCUUAAAAUAAAUAUUUUAAUUCCCUAUUGAUUUUGUUUUAUUGCCACACUUGUUUAGGCGAGGCCCUUUGUAAAAGAUUGUAGAACCUAUACAGCCUACUAUCUACAAACAUGGUCCUGAUUUGGGAUGGAAUCAAAUGACGUUUCUGUUCUCUGAACCCCAUUUGUAGAGCUAUGCUAAAGUGUUAAAAAGUGUACAUAUGCCAUGUUCUACAAUUAACUUAUCUUACCUAUGAAUGCCCUCGCAGAAAACAUGUUAAUAUUUGUUCCAUUGUCUUUCAGGAGGGCCACAAGCCUAGUAUGAUUUGUCAGAGCGACAUCUACCCUCCCUGCCACAAAUGAUUGAUCCUUUUAACCAGUUUCAGAAUCCGACCUUUCGUUUCAUUAAACAAGAAAAGCGAGGUUGGUCAUCCAUGAUGCAUUUAUAGAUCCGUUUGAUGAUGAAUCCCAUCCCAUCUUGAAUACCCCUCCCUUCAUUUCAAAGAGGAGCGUGUCCGGCUGUUGUCGUACGAGAAGAAGCUAGUGUGUGCAGCUGAGGACCCAGGAUGCUAACUGUGUAGAGCCGUUCACCAUCGAGAGGACCAGGGCUUCCAUCAUGGUCCUCCGGACCAAGCUCAACAUAUCCGCCGCCUUCGUCGACGACUUUGUCCUGGAGGAUCGUUGCCAUCUGCAACGACUCACCUGAAUGUACGCCUGUGAUGGCAUUUUAGUUUGUU